rnacentral:lncRNA from 1 species
UGGUGGGUGGGGGACUGGCCCAACGAUUAAUGACGAGGAAAAAAUAUGGGUGAGGUGGGGACCACGGAGACUAACUGGGAUUCGCGGGGUGCACUGGGGACCGCCGGUCAUGUGGAUGACGCUGUCCCCAGAAUCUUUUUGGACGGUUAUGAUUAGGGGGCCUACUUUCCAUAAUCUCGUUCUCGAUUUCUCAUCGCGC